rnacentral:lncRNA from 1 species
AGUGUCUGAGUUUGUGACUCGCCGGGAGAUUGUCUGUUCCUGCUGCUUCCAAUAUCGUCUUGGCCUUUAUGAAGGCACAUGCACACGACUGUAGCGGCACCCCUGUCUCCGGCCCAUUGUGGACAUGACUGCUCUUCCAGUGUGGCUCCCCUGUGACAGGCACCUGCUCAGCAACCUACAGAAGCUCCCCCAGAUAAGAAAAUUGAGACUCAGAGCAUUUAAGCAGCCAGCCUGGAGUCACAGAGAUUUAAGUCUCAGAGCCAGCACUCAGGAUGAGUGCCAAUGGAAGCCUGUCCUUGGAGUCCAGAAUGAACGUCAGAAGCAACCCAGCCACAGCAGGAGACUGUCCAUGAAUGUCAUCUGGCUGAACCUAAAGGCAAGACCUUUUUAACUUAUCUCAUUCAAGCUUAUUCUUCGUACUCUUUCACUAAUUCCAAUUAAGAAUAUUUCAUGCUCAUGAUAGGAUUUGCCAUUUUUCCCACUUGCCAAGUCCCUGAUUAUUCAUCAUCAUCACCAGCAACAACAGCAGCAGCAGCAGCAGCAGAAAUAGAGAAUUACUUGUUCAAGUAGUAAAACCUUCUGUGGAAGUCUAGUGCAUAACAAUGCAUACCUUCCCCUGUCUCUAACCCUCUUGUUUUCUAAAAUUAACAUCUCUGAGAUAUAGAAAGACAUGCAAAGGGGCAUGGAUCUGGUAUUUUAGCUGCUACAAAAUAAGCACAAAUACAAUAAUGGGGCGACUUCAUACUUAACUUUUGUCAUUAUAAAAUCUAAGACUGAUUCAUGGACUGACAUGCAGGAAGAAAUAAAAUUCUUUAUCUCCUUCCAGGGGAGAAGGGUUUCUCAGUUUCCUGGGAAUAAGCAUCAUUAGAGUAAUAUAUAUAUAUUUUUCUAUUGUGCUUCUUCGGUUUUACAUUUAGUCAACAUUCUCUAUUAUUCUGAGCAAUAGACUCUUCUGAAAUUUUCAUUUCUGUAGAUGAUGUAUAUUUUUUAUCUUUUUUCUGUGUCUUCAUUGAUAUUUUAGUGGAAAUUUGGGAGAUGAUGUAUCAGCAGCAACUAGCCAAGCACCAUUUUAAACUAAAAUCCGAUGGAAAUUUAAUUUGAUUGCACUACAAAUGUUAACUCCAUGAGAUUUUUUUUCCUCCCAUCAAGUGUGUCUCUCCUUCCCAUUAGGCAUAUUUGGAUAGUGCAAAUGGGUGACUUGACUGGAAGCAGAAAGAGAUUCAUUCCAUUCCAAUUUUGAAUAUGACAGUUGUGAAGUCAGGCUCAUGACCUGUGUGCCAAUUUACAAUCUAAUAAAAAUUUAAAUGCUUGAAUUAUUAACAGAGAGUGAGGGAUGGAGCUUAGAAUGGAAACAUUUAUAAUGAAGUGACGAUUUUCAGCAUAAUAGAGUUGCUCAUUUUUGGAACAUCCUAUAUGCAUAUUCCUUGUGGUUUCAUAGCCCGUAAAUUGUUUGUUGUUGGGUCUCAUUUUGAAUUCUCUUUACUAUUUCAUUCUGUUCUGCAUCAGCAAUCAGGGCAGCUGUGGAUACUAACACAGUUUAAUUUUUUAAAAAACCAUACGCUUUACGGUCAGACAUACCUGGAUUCAAAUUCUGAUUCUGAUUUUUACUUGCAUUGUGAGAUCUGAUAGCGUGUUUCAUCUUGUUGACCAAGUUAGCCUGCAACAACUACCUUGUAAGCUUUUUGUAAGAAUUGCAGUAAAUAAGUGAAAAUAUUUCUGACCGUGCCUGGCAUGUAGUAGUUGUUCAUUAAUGAGUAUAAGAGCUUUUCGCCAUCGUUCCUUCUUUAUUCUGCCAUGUAAUUUAGAAGAAAGAGUCCUCAAAGAUCAUGCAUUAAUUGAUUCAAUAAAGCAUUCAUUCAUUCAUGUGACAUUUAUACAGUGUCGACUCUAGGCCUGGGAAUUCUCAGAGCUAAGAAUAUAAGAAAUACUGAGACCUUCAAAAAUGUUAUAGACUAAUGAAGAAAAUAGGCCUGUUAAAAAUACUCUAUACUAGGGAAAAAUGAAUGAUAUUAAAGAAAGAUGUUUAAGGUACUACAGUGACACUAAGAAAAUAUUUUCUUGGUGCUUUUGAGUAUGUCAGUUAAAUCCUUUGAGCUUCUAAUUUUUUAAAAUUAGAUUAACAAAAACAUAUGAGCCACUUCAAACAUGCCGGUGCAAAGCCUACAAUUUCUUUCAAAGAGGCUGAACUACAGGCCAUUUUACCCAAACUCAUACAUUCAUUCAUUUUAAAAAGUGCAUCCUUGGAACAAGCAUAAUCAAGAAAUGCUUAAAACGAGUCUGGCCUGUAACUCAUGACAAAGACUUGUAUGAAGAGAUGAGCUGAGCCAAUCUGCAUCCUACCAAGAGAAACCACAAGAAUCAGACAAUUAGCAUCAGGAACCGAAAAUGAAAGCAUGCCCAGAGAGCAGAAGUCAUAAGGGAUAGUCAAGGCUCUUUUGGUUCAGGAGAAAGCUGCAUGUAGAAGGACGCUUGAGUUAAGCAGAAGAUGGUAGAUGAGGUUAGAAGUAAGACGAAAUAAGGAUGAAGAGUAGAGGAUGGGGAAGGCAGCCAGAGUUAAGGUGCAG